GACGAACGCUGGCGGCGUGCCUAAUACAUGCAAGUCGAACGCAGUGGGGACGGGUGAGUAACACGUGGGUAACCUCCCAUCAGAGGGGAUAACACUUGGAAACAGGUGCUAAACCGAUACUGAUGGAUGGACCCGCGGUGCAUUAGCUAGUUGGUGAGGUAACGGCUCACCAAGGCCACGAUGCAUAGCCGACCUGAGAGGGGUAUCGGCGACACUGGGAAUAAGAAACGACCCAGACUCAGACGGGAAGCAGCGGUAGGGAAUCUGCGGCAAUGGACGAAAGUCUGACCGAGCAAAGCCGCGUGAGGGAAGAAGGUUUUCGGAUCGUAAAACUCUGUUGUUAGAGAAGCGGUAUCUAACCAGAAAGCCACGGCUAACUACGUGCCAGCAGACGCGGUAAUUC
rnacentral:rRNA from 1 species